AUUGAACGCUGGCGGCAGGCCUAACACAUGCAAGUCGAACGAGUGGCGGACGGGUGAGUAAUGUCUGGGAAACUGCCUGAUGGAGGGGGAUAACUACUGGAAACGGUAGCUAAUACCGCAUACCAUCGGAUGUGCCCAGAGGGGAUUAGCUAGUAGGUGGGGUAAAGGCUCACCUAGGCGACGAUCCCUAGCUGGUCUGAGAGGAUGACCAGCCACACUGGAACUGAGACACGGUCCAGACUCCUACGGGAGGCAGGAGUGGGGAAUAUUUCACAAUGGGGGCAAGCCUGAUGCAGCCAUGCCGCGUGUAUGAAGAAGGCCUUCGGGUUGUAAAGGACUUUCAGCGGGGAGGCGGUACCCGAAGAAGAAGGACCGGCUAACUCCGUGACAGCCGCCGCGGUAAUAC
rnacentral:rRNA from 1 species